rnacentral:tRNA from 1 species
GCGGGAGUGGCGAAAUCGGCAAACGCACAGGACUUAAAAUCCUGUACCCGUAAGGGUUUGAGGGUUCGAUUCCCUCCUCCCGCACCA